ACGAACGCUGGCGGCGUGCUUAACACAUGCAAGUCGAACGGUGAAGCGCCUUCCUUUUUGGUGGGUGUGGAUGAGUGGCGAACGGGUGAGUAACACGUGAGUAACCUGCCCCCUUCUUCUGGAUAACCGCAUGAAAGUGUGGCUAAUACGGGAUAUUCUGGGUCUGUCGCAUGAUGGGUCUGGGAAAGAUAUUGUUUCGGUGGGGGAUGGGCUCGCGACCUAUCAGCUUGUUGGUGGGGUGAUGGCCUACCAAGGCGGUGACGGGUAGCCGGCCUGAGAGGGUGGACGGUCACACUGGGACUGAGACACGGCCCAGACUCCUACGGGAGGCAGCAGUGGGGAAUAUUGCACAAUGGGCGCAAGCCUGAUGCAGCGACGCCGCGUGAGGGAUGGAGGCCUUCGGGUUGUGAACCUCUUUCGCCAGUGAAGCAGGCCUGCCUCGUUUGUGGGUGGGUUGACGGUAGCUGGAUAAGAAGCGCCGGCUAACUACGUG
rnacentral:rRNA from 1 species